UCAGCCAGGGGGCAGGUC
rnacentral:misc_RNA from 1 species